AUGGAAAAGACCAUUGUCAUUGCACUUAAUGUUGAUGCCUCAUUUUCGGAAGAUGACCACUCAGGAGCGUGUGGGGCAAUUGUCCGUGACAACCAUGGUCUGUUUGUAUGCGCAUCCAUUGCAAGACUUGAACAUGUCCCUGACAUAGUUUCAGCGGAAGCUGCGGCCCUCAUGGAAGGUCUAAAGCUCUCACUGAAUAUAGGUUGCAACUCUAUUUUCAUCCAAAUGGACAAUUUGGUGGUGGUGGACGCAUUAAACCAGAACACUGGACACUCAAUGGUCGCAGCACCAAUUUUAGAUGAAUGUCGAAGUUUACUCCAGGAAUUCGGGAAGGUCCUUAUUGAACAUUGUAAUAGGGAGUCGAAUAUGGUAGCUCAUGUGCUAGCGCAACGGGGGCGUGUUGAUCCACCAUUUGUGUGGUCGGACGCACCGCCCGACUUUAUAUCUACCUUUUUAGUUGAUGAUGUAACUUUUAUUUGA
rnacentral:rRNA from 1 species